UAUUUCAGGUUGAACAUGCAUCUCUAACUCAUAUUCAAUGAUGUUUUUUUCUUGUCGGUUUCAUCUAUAUAUGGUUGUACCACAGAAAAAUGGUGUAUUGUUGCAUAUGAAUGGAAAAGCUUGCAGAUUAGCUGUGUUUUUUUUUGCCGUGUACAACUCCUAGUACGUAGAUUUUUAGAUUUUUAUGACGUUAAUACUAGCAAUAAUUUUUCGGAUAAAAUGGGAAAUCAGUAUACAAAACGAUUAUUUCUAAGGGGAUAGUGCCCCUCAGGGAUAAGACAUUUGAUAUAUAAAAAAAGUAAUGUUAGCACUAUCAAUCUAUAUUUCUUUUCGGAUAGUAUUGAAGUUGUAUCUAUGGUUUAUGUCUGGGAUGAUGGAGGUAUUUCUGUUGAAGUAACUUUUGCUUCAAAUACGUUGUCAUUACAGUAUUACGCUAAAGAUGAAGAGAGUAGACAAUGCUAACAAUAUUCAAGAAAACAAUUAUUUGGUCCUUAUCUAUGCUUGAAUAAACUCUGCUCUAUUAAAAUAAAUGAAUAAAGCAAUACAAACAACAAGAAUAAAACGAAACUCUUACUAACAAUGUAUCUUCCCAUUGGCUAAGCUAUAGGAUAUUCUCUGUAUAGUUUGUCAGCUUAAUGGUCAUAUUAAUCUUGUCAAAGGUUAUUCCAAUUUUUUCUGGAUAGCCCAGUUGCAUUGUUCUCUAAAUGGUCGUUUGAUGUCAAUUUUUGAAAGAUUUUGAGAAUAAAUGACACUUGAUGACAUUUAUUAUUUGCUUUUUUGAUAUUUGAACAAAUUUGGGAGUACCAAGCCUAUUUUGCCAGCACUAAGUCUUCGGAACAUUAUUAUUCUGAUUACAGUACUUGUUCAAUUUUAACCUUUGAAACCGAACUUUAAGAUGUUCACAAUGUGUUAAUUUUGUGAAAUGAACAACAUGAAAUUGACACUUACUGUGCUUGGGUACUUAACGCGUUUGCACUUACAUGAUUACGGUUAUUUUUCAUAAAUGAUUAUUAUGUGUUGCUACUAUUCAUAUAUAAUGUUAUAAACAUUAAAAUGUCAAAGAUAUACUGUUUUAUUGUCACUUGACUUUGAACAAGUUCCAAAUGUAUAAUUUGUUUUCUGUUUUGUCCAUGAACACAAAUUAUUAUCAUACAUCCAUUUCAUUUAAACUCUGUUGGAUAGAUGUCUCAUUGGCAAUCAUACCACAUCUUCUUAUUUUCAUAGUAAAGCCUAGAGAAGAGUUUUUUUGUAGCUCUAAAUACAAUAUCUUUAAAAUAGUGUUAAACUAUAAUAGAUGAAUAGAUUGGAAAAUGUUAGUUUGCAGAAUUCAUGAAAAAUAAAACUUUCUCUGACCUGUAUAAAUGCUUGAAUGAAAUUUGCUUAACUGAUACAACUGAAGCAUUAAAAUCAACGAAUGCAGCGCAACUCGCACUUACAUGUAUGUUCCCUUAGGCAUGCCAAUACAAUUGACAACACAUAUAUAUUACGCUUUUUGCCAUUAUCCUGUUUUUAAACAGAUAUACAUGUAGUUAAUGCCACAAGGAUUUACUAUAUAAAUCCAGCUGACCUUUUAUUAAGGUGUAUUCCUUGUACAUGUACUUAUUAAUUACCAGGGCUAUCCUGUGUAAUGACUGUAUCAUCGUCCUAAAGGUUUAGGAACACACCACAUAAAACACCCUAUACAACAUCAUAGUCUCGUUUUCAAAGUCACUCCUAUUCUUACUUUGAAGUUCGAGCCAAAAAUGGUUAAUUGAAUUUGAAAAUUGAUAAACUUUUGAAAUAUUUUCUUUUUCUGUUUUAUAAACACUUAUCUAAUACUAGUAUACAUGUAUGGUAUAUUCAACGCUGUGUGGUUGUAUUGACGGACUUUUUUUUAAAACUGUUUCUAAAAUUGGACUGGAUAAUUUGGCGUAAAUUGUAAUGUUUCAUUCAGUGAUACUGUUAAUUGCAAUGAUUAGCAUAGUAAAAUGUUCAAUUAUGAUUAAUUUUACUUAUACAUGACGUCACAAAACUGUUAGAUGCGAUGAUGAAGAGUGUAAAUAGUAAAAUGCUCCAUAACGAUAUACUUAUUCAUGUAUAUGACGUCAUAAACCAAAAUGUCCAAUUACUACAUAGUGCCUUUACGAAGACCACUUACGCCAAAACCUAAUAUUCCUAUUUCAGCACAAACCAAGGACAUUCAAGUGUAACAAGGUUUAAAG
rnacentral:lncRNA from 1 species